ensembl:lncRNA
AUGAUGCCGAUGCCACUGCCAUUGCCUGCGCUCCCACUUUGUGGCCAGUCUUCAUUCAUCUUCAGUAGCACCAGCACUCGGAGGACAGCAGCCAUGAUUCACAUCGAUCUUACAACGAUGGCAUGCGUGAUUUCUAUAUGCCUAUGUGUGGGAAGUCCUUUGCCUUUUCAAAAGUUGUACGAGUGUCCCACAACGCAGGAAAUGCUCUGUGAGAACAUGGUCACCUCUAAGGGAUUUACCUACAAGGUGCCUCAGGACAUGCUUCCAGACUUGAGAGAUCGCGAUUGUGAACAUGGGUGGUUUUAUCUGAAUGAAACAUUUAUUGUUGACUCAACGCAGCCUGGGGAGAAUUUAGGAUUUGUAGUGGCUGUGACUUCUGAAAACCUGACAGUCAGCACCUGCAUAAACCUUCAAUGGCAACUUCACUGUGAAAACAUUAAGCUUCACUGUACUGUUAAUUAUAGAGUGAAACAUAAAGCGCCACAUGAAACCCUGCCAGGAAAUUACACAUCUUCAGGAGACAAAGGAGAUGGUAAGUAACCAAUGUAAACAUUGUAAAUAGGUCAUAUAUUCCACCAUUGACUGAGAUUGUCUUCAACAUUACUGUGCACACUUUUCUGUUGUCAUGUUUGUUAUAGCAAGUUCUCCUGGCUGGCUUAUUGCUGUAAUCGUGGGGAGCGUGAUUGUGUCUGUUCUCAUCAUAUCUGCUACCAUUUGGUUUUGUUUGAAGAAGGCAAGAAAGUAAGUUGUUAUAAAAUAUUUUGUGUUCAAUUUAUUUCUAUAAUAGUAUAUAACAUUUAGAACUGUUUUUAAUUUUUCCUAGGUCAGCGUACACUCCUCCAGGUGAAGAUGAAUCUGAGGAAGAAUUCUGAAUUGUCAAAGUCUAAGCAAUAGGUCAGCCAGAUUAGUCUAAGCUCUGUGAAAAGUGUAUCUUAACACUGUAAAGCCCACACUGUAAAAAAUUUACCGUAAANAAAAAAAGGCCUACAAAUGUUUUUUUUUCUUCUCAAGACCACAUUUACAUAGUUAAUGGGUUCUAUUGUUUGUCCUCACAAUGCUUUUGGAUAGAAGUGUUUAUAGGUCCGGUCAUCUGGCCAUGAACUCACGUAUACCUGCAAACUUUGCGUGGAGCUCAUCUCCUUUUUUUGCAUGACUGGAUUUGUCAAGAUUCAAGUAAGAAAAAUUCCUUACAUAUUUUUUUUUUGUGUGUGUGUGUGUUUAUUACAAUGUCUAGAACACAUACAUAUUUAGUUAUUUUGGAAAACAUUAAUCAAAUUUUAUUUAGAGCUUGUUAAGUCUAUGUUGUAAUUCUACAACGUUGGGCCAGAGUGGUAGUUAAAAUAGCCUGUGCUCCUUACACAUUACAUAAGGACACUGCACUUCUCACAUGGUCACAAAUUGAAAUUUAAACUGUUAGAUGAUUCAUUGUAACUAAGUUCUAAAUGUGCUUUUCUGUUAAAUUAGUACUUAGUUUAGCUUAGACCAUAAUUAAAUGCAGGAAUUAAUUGUGUGUGGUAUUUGAAACUUCAUCAUCUAGAGCAGUAUCUGAAACUCCCUGUAUCUGUGUAGUUUUUUGUUUGUUUUUUUUAACUUCUAAAUGAUCCUGAAAUUUUUUAUGAGUGUUGCCCAAGUAGCAUUUUAUAGCAUUAAAAGAUAUAUAUAUAUAAAAAAAAACAGAAUGUUCUGAAUGUUCUGGAUUUACAACAAUAUUACAACAUUUCCCUAAAAACUUACUAAAAUAUAAAAAAAAAAUGAAAAAUCUUUAAUUUCUACAUCAGAGACCUCCUAAAACAUUUUUUUUCUAUAUUUGGGUAGGGUUAAGCAUCCAAAAGUGUCUGAAUACAUUUUAAGGCAAAUUGAAUAUAUUCACAACAAUUACUUGUGUGUGCACCCUAGACCACAACAGUCUUAGGGCCAGUUCAGGCUAGGAUUUUAUCCCAAAUUUGACACGAUCUGCUUUAUGUAGAGUGUUGUGGGGAUUUGUAAAUGACAAUGGGCAUCUGGACGCAGGAUUCAAAAAUUUUAUCUUGUGUAGAGUGUGGACAACAACCGAUGCCACGUCUGCGAUGCUUCACAACAUCAACACGGAAAGACUUAUGUUUAAAUAUCUGUGACACAAAGCAAUAGGAGCACAGAAGCGCCUUCUUACAUGCUUUCAAACAAGCCAAAACAAAUGAGAGACAACCAGGGGCGUCAUGCACUCAUUAUUCUUGAGGGAGCAUGAGCUAUUUAUUUAUUUAUUUUUUCAAACUGAAUUAUCAUGAAAUAUCUUAAUUCUCACCUUUAUAGAUUAUGAUCUAUAGUGGCGGAUGGUCAAAGUAACUUCCUUCCUCGUGUUUAUAAGCCCUGUUUGUUUAGUUCCUCCGGGUCCGCUAUUGUUUAUUAUUGAGUGUUUAGUGUUAUAGGUGAUGUUGGAUUGUUGACCUGUUCCUCUUGAGAUUUACCUGGAUUAUUAAAUAAUACCCUGUUAUACCUUCUUCUUCGAGCGCUUUACUCAGCACGCCAGCCCGGGUGUGACAAUGAGCUAUUUAUUUAUUUUUUCAAACUGAAUUAUCAUGAAAUAUCUUAAUUCUCACCUUUAUAGAUUAUGAUCUAUAGUGGGGGAUGGUCAAAGUAACUUAUAAAAACCUGUCUGUUUACUUAAUUAACAGAUAUGGGUGUCAUGCCAUAACAUAUUUUUAAUACGACUGAGUUUAUAUUUAAUGUAAAUUUAACAUUGGAAGUUAAUGUGAAUAAAAACAUUGCAAGUAACA